GCUGGGUGUGGUGGCCCACGCCUGUAAUCCCAGCUACUCGGGAGGCUGAGGCAGGAGAAUCGCUUGAACCCGGGAGGUGGAGGUUGCAGUGAGCCGAGAUGGUGCCACUGCAUUCCAGCCUGGGUGACAGAGUGAGACACUGUCUCAA
rnacentral:SRP_RNA from 1 species